ACGAUAUAGUGUUUUAUGGCACUUUUAAAUCCAUAUCCACCUUGUGUGCAAUGUCAGUCGAUCUUCUUCAUGGAGAUCGACCAAACAUCAACCUUUAUCUUUUAACUCUUUGUCUGUAAAAAUAUUAUGAAUAAACAAUUCAAAAUA
rnacentral:misc_RNA from 1 species